rnacentral:rRNA from 1 species
UGGGGAAUAUUGCACAAUGGGCGCAAGCCUGAUCCAGCCAUGCCGCGUGUGUGAAGAAGGCCUUCGGGUUGUAAAGCACUUUCAGCGGGGAGGAAGGCGGUGAGGUUAAUAACCUCAUCGAUUGACGUUACCCGCAGAAGAAGCACCGGCUAACUCCGUGCCAGCAGCCGCGGUAAUACGGAGGGUGCAAGCGUUAAUCGGAAUUACUGGGCGUAAAGCGCACGCAGGCGGUCUGUCAAGUCGGAUGUGAAAUCCCCGGGCUCAACCUGGGAACUGCAUUCGAAACUGGCAGGCUAGAGUCUUGUAGAGGGGGGUAGAAUUCCAGGUGUAGCGGUGAAAUGCGUAGAGAUCUGGAGGAAUACCGGUGGCGAAGGCGGCCCCCUGGACAAAGACUGACGCUCAGGUGCGAAAGCGUGGGGAGCAAACAGG